rnacentral:rRNA from 1 species
CAGUCGCCACGGGAAUACGAAGGGGGCUAGCGUUGUUCGGAUUUACUGGGCGUAAAGCGCACGUAGGCGGACUUUUAAGUCAGGGGUGAAAUCCCGGGGCUCAACCCCGGAACUGCCUUUGAUACUGGAAGUCUUGAGUAUGGUAGAGGUGAGUGGAAUUCCGAGUGUAGAGGUGAAAUUCGUAGAUAUUCGGAGGAACACCAGUGGCGAAGGCGGCUCACUGGACCAUUACUGACGCUGAGGUGCGAAAGCGUGGGGAGCAAACAGGAUUAGAGACCCCUGUAGUCCCUGUCUCUUAUAC